CGCUAAUCUAAAAAGGAAAAACAAUUAAGAGAUAAAACCUAAGAGAAUGAAAACUCUUUACUUCUCUAUCUCUCACGGUGCAGCCUCCCUCUCUGCAUCUCCCAUCUUUGAAUUGAAGCUCUCAUCUCUAUAGAACAAAAGUUCGAUCGAAUUGGGAUCGAAUGGAAUUGGGCAGUUAAUUGGGUAUGUGCUGCCAAAUAUAGAGAAGGCUUCGGUGUAUAACAACAGGUAAUGCACCGAGUAAACGCUCUCGUGUGCAAACUACUGAUCAGCCAUGCCCAAAUGGAUCCAAUUCUACUUCAGGUAAUGCAAUGAGUAAACGCUCUCGUGUGCAAACGACUGAUCAGCCAUGCGAAAAUUCUGUAGAAGAUGGACUCAAUUCCUCGCUAUAGGCUAUAGAAUGUAUAACGACGAAAAUAAAUUUCAUCGCUAUACAAUACACAACUUAUGACGACAAAAAUAAAUUUUCUCGUUAAAGAUUAUAAUAUGUACGACGAUGAAAGUAAAUUUCAUAGCUAUAGGUUAUACAACUUACAACGACAAAAAGUAAAUUUCCUCGCUAUAGAAUAUAGUAUCUAUCGCGAUGAAAAUAAAUUUUC